rnacentral:rRNA from 1 species
UACGUAGGUGGCGAGCGUUGUCCGGAAUUACUGGGCGUAAAGGAUGCGUAGGUGGAUAUUUAAGUGGGAUGUGAAAUCCCCGGGCUCAACCCGGGAACUGCAUUCCAAACUGGAUGUCUAGAGUGCAGGAGAGGAAAGCGGAAUUCCUAGUAUAGCGGUGAAAUGCGUAGAUAUUAGGAGGAACACCAGUGGCGAAGGCGGCUUUCUGGACUGUAACUGACACUGAGGCAUGAAAGCGUAGGUAGCAAACAAG